GUCAACAAUGCGUUGAAGUUUAAUGUGAAAGCGAUACUACGUACCGACAUUCUUCUGCGGUUCUGUUGCAGUGUCCACUGGAUAAUAUAUGGAUCAAGGGCAAACAGAAUCCAGUGAAUAGGAACAUGUCUCCGCCUAACAACGAGUGCCCCAUCAUUCCACUAAACCCAUCACAGCCCAAUCCACUCGGAACCGAGUUCCCAAACGAUGUCCUUUAAUUGAAGAGAUCUAGAGGAAGAUGUUAUUGAUAAAACAACAUUUCAGCCACAAAAGAUCGAUGUCUGAAAGAAGUUUACAUCAGAUCAGACUCUCGCGUCAAUCUCAGAGUGAUUUUCCGAGAUACACUUCGGAUUCUAAUCGAAUGAGCCCGUAUCCAAGACCAGAUGCUCCGAGGAAGAAUCGGCUAACAGUUCGUGGAUCGAAGCAGGGCGAAAAUUGCCGAUGCUAAUUAAAGACUCGCCACCAGUGGAGAAAGAACUCGUACUUAGUGAAUUAGAAAGGUGUAAACAUGAGAGGAAAAAAAGCCGUCUGCUCUCGGUUCGUCGUCAUUUCCGAUGGUGUUUGGAGAAGAUAGGGCUCCACGAUCGCUGACUUCCCUCGCUUUAUCUUCUCCAAAGAUGCGACUUGUUUCCUUUUUAAGUUGAUUACGUGGUGGUAUAUAAACUUUCUUGGAGAUUUCGUAACAGUGGAACUACUUUUGGAAACCAUUUGCGACUUUUUGCCUCACUGGAUUUAACAUUAGAUAAUUAUUUACAGUGUAUGCCGACUGGUACACCACCGCCCGUAACAGUGCAUACUCAACAUACUUUGAUGUUUUCCGGAAGGAGUAUGACGGCAUCCGGUUUCGUGUCUCUUUCUUGACCACGUGUCGAAAGUACUAUAUUAUGUUAGACAUCAAAUAGCUGUAGUUUAAAAUGUCUUAAGUGUCGUUAGACUAUGACACUCAGUACUCGGUGUAUUUUUGUGUUCAUAUGUUGUUCAAUAUCCAUUCCAUCAUUCAUUCAUUCAUUCAAUUGUUAAUCAAUUCAUAGUCUAUUCAUUCAUUCUUUCUUUCAUUAAUUC